GCUGAGACUGUUUUUGUUUUUGGAAAUAAAUGUGACCCGUUAGGAUACAUUGAGUAAUGUAAGUCACCUGAAGCUACUACCUGUCCCUGUUUGCAUAGCAAAAGUGUCCUCAUCCAAAGGCUGGGAAACUCGUGCAGACAGCAGCCACUGAGGAGGGAGAUUCAGAGUCAGAAGAACCAGCUCCUGCUUCUUUGAUUAUACAGAGGACAUCUGAGCUACCCAGAGACCCAGCCAUCACCUUAUAAAGCCUAGGGCACCACCAGAAAAUCAACACUAUGGCUUUGAUCCCAAACCCCGCCAACUGCAGGACGCUGAGGAUUCUGCAGCCAGGAAGAAUGCCGAGGCCUCCUCCGGCCACUCUUCUCCCAGCACACCCGACUUCCAUUAUGCAGGGACAUGCCUGGGCUGGGGGCUGCUGCCAGAAUUCUCCUGGCCCAAACAGGAGGCUCUGGGUUGUGGCCCAGAAUCUUUCCUGAAAAUCCGUGCAAGUUUCCUCCAUCGCUUCCAAUCCUGUACUUUCAUGUCGGUGAGAUUCUGGGCCGUGUUUGGCCUGAGCAAUGCUAAAGCUUGCUCCUGUCUUUCUUCCUCUAUGAGCUAAGUUCUCUUCUCCCUGCAGCCCCUCUGCCCCUCACAGUUGUAAAUAAGAAAGUUCUGCUUUCAGAAACAAUCCUGAAAACGAUGACCAAGUCCGAACUCUUGUCCAUUAAGCCCUUUUAUGGCCCACAGACUUAACUCCUUAAACACGGUUUUUGCUGGGUAGGGUGGAGCAUACCCGUAAUCCCAGCACUUGGGAGGCUGAGGCAGGAGGAUCCUAGCAAAUUAGAGGCCAACCUGGGCUACAUAGUGAGAUUCUGUCUCAAAAACAAAAACAGUUUUCACCUACUGAGAUAACAUUCUUAUGGGAACACUGAUUGGGUUAUUGCUAGCUUGUGUGAUGGGAAAAACCUAGAACGUCCCUCCAAGAGACUUUGGUCACCCCAACUAAACAACCCAGAGAGGCAGACCCAAACGUCUACCUGGUUUGGAAGAACCCCAGAGGUGUUAGUCACCUUGCACUUGCUGAGAAUCAGAGUGGAGGUGAAGCCUGUCCUGCAGUUUAACUGUUUAUGCCAAAGCCAGCUCACGUUUGCAGAAUUCCCCUUGGGGAGCCACGGGCACUGCUGAGCCCUUGGCACAUAUCAUUCAUGCACUCCUAGCCCAGCCCUGUCAGAUUCGCACACUCAUCCCAUCUUACACAGCAGGAAGCAUAGGCUCAGAGGAGACAGGGUGGGACUUGGUGAGCCCUGACUGAGGUCACCUGGCUGAUAAGUGAUAAAGGCACUGCUCAAUUUUGGCUUCAUCUGAUCCCCUAAUCCCCAAAUCUGGGCUCAGCCCCACUCCAAUCCAUGGCCUCCUUCGGGACUUGAAAAUGUAAAUGACACAUUCUGUUCACGAUUAGGAAUUUUCUGGCAUGGUAGUGCACCUCUAUAAUUCCAGCAUUCAGGAGGCUGAGGCGGGAGGGUCACACACACACACACACACAAAGUAGAGCCAGGCAUGGUGGAGCACGCCUAUAAUCCCAGCACUUGGGAGGCUGAGGCAGGAGGAUCACCAUGAGUUCGAGGCCAGCCUGGACUACAUAGCAAG
ensembl:lncRNA